AACGAACGCUGGCGGCAUGCCUAACACAUGCAAGUCGAACGAGACCUUCGGGUCUAGUGGCGCACGGGUGCGUAACGCGUGGGAAUCUGCCCUUGGGUUCGGAAUAACAGUUGGAAACGACUGCUAAUACCGGAUGAUGACGUAAGUCCAAAGAUUUAUCGCCCAAGGAUGAGCCCGCGUAGGAUUAGCUAGUUGGUGAGGUACAGGCUCACCAAGGCGACGAUCCUUAGCUGGUCUGAGAGGAUGAUCAGCCACACUGGGACUGAGACACGGCCCAGACUCCUACGGGAGGCAGCAGUGGGGAAUAUUGGACAAUGGGCGAAAGCCUGAUCCAGCAAUGCCGCGUGAGUGAUGAAGGCCUUAGGGUUGUAAAGCUCUUUUACCCGGGAUGAUAAUGACAGUACCGGGAGAAUAAGCUCCGGCUAACUCCGUG
rnacentral:rRNA from 1 species